GACGAACGCUGCGGCGUGCCUAACACAUGCAAGUCGAGCGGGAACCUCAGGAGGGGUAACCCUUCUGAGGGGAGAGCGGCGAACGGGUGAGUAACACGUGGGCAACCUGCCCCGGACACCGGGAUAACCCAGGGAAACCUGAGCUAAUACCGGAUACUCCGGCGUGAUCGCAUGGUCGCGUCGGGAAAGCUCCGACGGUCCGGGAUGGGCCCGCGGCCUAUCAGCUUGUUGGUGGGGUAACGGCCCACCAAGGCGACGACGGGUAGCUGGUCUGAGAGGACGGCCAGCCACACUGGGACUGAGACACGGCCCAGACUCCUACGGGAGGCAGCAGUGGGGGAUCUUGCGCUAAUGCGCGAAAGCGUGACGCAGCGACGCCGCGUGGGGGAUGAAGGCCUUCGGGUUGUAAACCCCUUUCGGCAGGGACGGAGGGAAACUGACGGUACCUGCAGAAGAAGUCCCGGCUAACUACGUGCCAGCAGCCGCGGUAACACGUAGGGGACGAGCGUUGUCCGGAUUCAUUGGGCGUAAAGCGCGCGUAGGCGGCUCGGAAAGUCGGGCGUGAAAUGCCGGGGCUCAACCCCGGGACUGCGUCCGAUACUUCCGAGCUGGAGGUAGGUAGGGGAGAUCGGAAUUCCUGGUGUAGCGGUGAAAUGCGCAGAUAUCAGGAGGAACACCGGUGGCGAAGGCGGAUCUCUGGGCCUUACCUGACGCUGAGGCGCGAAAGCUAGGGGAGCGAACAGGAUUAGAUACCCUGGUAGUCCUAGCCGUAAACGUUGGGUGCUAGGUGUGGGUGGACAUCGACCCCAUCCGUGCCGAAGCUAACGCAUUAAGCACCCCGCCUGGGGAGUACGGCCGCAAGGCUA
rnacentral:rRNA from 1 species